AUUUAGCUGACGAGUCCCAAACAGGAAGACACGCGCGUUGUGGAU
rfam:Schistosoma mattheei strain Denwood, Zambia genome assembly, scaffold: SMTD_scaffold0000485